rnacentral:rRNA from 1 species
UGAGGAAUAUUGGACAAUGGGCGCAAGCCUGAUCCAGCCAUGCCGCGUGAGUGAUGAAGGCCUUAGGGUUGUAAAACUCUUUUACCAGGGACGAUAAUGACGGUACCUGGAGAAUAAGCACCGGCUAACUUCGUGCCAGCAGCCGCGGUAAUACGAAGGGUGCUAGCGUUGUUCGGAAUUACUGGGCGUAAAGCGCAUGUAGGUGGACUCUCAAGCCAGAGGUGAAAUCCCGGAGCUUAACUCCGGAACUGCCUUUGGAACUGUGAGUCUGGAGUCUUGGAGGGGAUAGCGGAAUUCCUAGUGUAGAGGUGAAAUUCGUAGAUAUUAGGAGGAACACCGGCGGCGAAGGCGGCUAUCUGGACAAGUACUGACACUGAGAUGCGAAAGCGUGGGGAUCAAACAGG